rnacentral:rRNA from 1 species
GGGCCCGCACAAGCGGUGGAGCAUGUGGUUUAAUUCGAUGCAACGCGAAGAACCUUACCAGGACUUGACAUACUACGAAUUCUUUUGAGAAAAAGAAGUGCCUUCGGGAAUGUAGAUACAGGUGGUGCAUGGCUGUCGUCAGCUCGUGUCGUGAGAUGUUGGGUUAAGUCCCGCAACGAGCGCAACCCUUAUUUUUAGUUACUAAUUCGUUAGGUUCUCUAGAAAGACUGCCGGUGACAAACCGGAGGAAGGUGAGGAUGACGUCAAGUCAGCAUGCCCCUUAUGUCCUGGGCUACACACGUGCUACAAUGGUUAAGACAAAGAGUCGCGAGCUCGCGAGAGUCAGCUAAUCUCAUAAACUUAGCCUAAGUUCAGAUUGUAGGCUGCAACUCGCCUACAUGAAGUUGGAAUCGCUAGUAAUCG